rnacentral:rRNA from 1 species
GACGAACGCUGGCGGCGUGCUUAACACAUGCAAGUCGAACGAAGAGCGAUGGAAGCUUGCUUCUAUCAAUCUUAGUGGCGAACGGGUGAGUAACGCGUAAUCAACCUGCCCUUCAGAGGGGGACAACAGUUGGAAACGACUGCUAAUACCGCAUACGAUCUAAUCUCGGCAUCGAGGAUAGAUGAAAGGUGGCCUCUACAUGUAAGCUAUCACUGAAGGAGGGGAUUGCGUCUGAUUAGCUAGUUGGAGGGGUAACGGCCCACCAAGGCGAUGAUCAGUAGCCGGUCUGAGAGGAUGAGCGGCCACAUUGGGACUGAGACACGGCCCAGACUCCUACGGGAGGCAGCAGUGGGGAAUCUUCCGCAAUGGACGAAAGUCUGACGGAGCAACGCCGCGUGAGUGAUGACGGCCUUCGGGUUGUAAAGCUCUGUUAAUCGGGACGAAAGGCCUUCUUGCGAACAGUUAGAAGGAUUGACGGUACCGGAAUAGAAAGCCACGGCUAACUACGUG